AGAACGAACGCUGGCGGCAUGCCUAAUACAUGCAAGUCGAACGAACUCUUCGGAGUUAGUGGCGCACGGGUGCGUAACGCGUGGGAAUCUGCCCUUGGGUUCGGAAUAACAGUUGGAAACGACUGCUAAUACCGGAUGAUGACGAAAGUCCAAAGAUUUAUCGCCCAGGGAUGAGCCCGCGUAGGAUUAGCUAGUUGGUGAGGUAAGGCUCACCAAGGCGACGAUCCUUAGCUGGUCUGAGAGGAUGAUCAGCCACGACUGGGACUGAGACCACGGCCCAGACCUCCGACGGGAGCAGCGAGGUACGGGAAU
rnacentral:rRNA from 1 species